CGCCCCCGCCGGCGGCGGCUAUUGGCUGUGGCGCGGAGCGACCGCGCGAGGGCCAAUUGGGAGCGCGGGCACCCGGCGCCAGCGGCGCGGGGAGGUCGGCGGUGCCGGCGGCGGCGGCGGGCGCAGUGCGCGAGGGGAGGAGCGGGAGGAGGCGGAGGAUGUUCCCGGCGGCGGCGGCCGGGGCAGCGCGGGCCAGAGGCGCGGCGCGCGGAGCCCUCGGCUGCCCGGCGGAGCGCGGCGGCGGCGGGCGGGCGGCCGGAGGCCGGCUCUGCGCUGCCCCCGGGGCUCUGAACGCGAGUCCUGGGCUUUGUCUCCCGCGCUUCCUUGGUGCUGACGGUCAGGGGGCUCCGUGUCGGCGAAGGACGCGGGCGGGACGCCGCGGGGCCCGGGCCGGGACGCGACGAUCGGAAGGGAAGGGGCGGACAAAAAAAGACCAAAUGGCAAAGCAACCUUCAGAUGUAAGUUCUGAGUGUGACAGAGAAGGUGGACAAUUGCAGCCUGCUGAGAGGCCUCCUCAGCUCAGGCCUGGGGCCCCUACCUCUCUACAGACAGAGCAGCAAGGUAAUCCUGAAGGCGAAGGGGACCGCUGCCCCCAAGGCAGCCCUCAGGGCCCGCUGGCCCCACCAGCCAGCCCCGGCCCUUUUGCUACCAGAUCCCCGCUUUUCAUCUUUGUGAGAAGAUCCUCCCUGCUGUCUCGAUCCUCCAGUGGGUAUUUCUCUUUUGACACAGACAGGAGCCCGGCACCCAUGAGUUGUGACAAAUCAACACAAACCCCAAGUCCUCCUUGCCAGGCCUUCAACCAUUACCUCAGUGCAAUGGCUUCCAUGAGGCGGUCUCAGGCCGUACCUGCAGAUACACGCCCGGAGAUAUGGAUUGCACAAGAGUUGCGGCGUAUUGGAGACGAAUUUAAUGCAUAUUACCCAAGGAGGUUAGAGCAAUAGAGGAAGGUGUCGUAUAGUUGUCAUGUGUUCAGUCCACUUAAGGGCAGUGGGGAAGCGUAUGAAACGGAGCUGUGGAGUCUGAGCCCUUGAAGGAGGAGAUGAGAGAGGCACAGGUCUUUUUGAAUAAUUACCAAGCAGCCGAAGCCCACCCCCAAAUGAUUAUCUUACGACUGUUACGUUACAUCAUCCGCCUGGUGUGGAGAUUGCAGUGACGACGGGUUCCUUGCGGAGCCAGAUGGGUGCAGACAUUCGCUUGUUAAAACCAACAAGCCCCAGCACCACGGUGUGAGAGGUGCCAUUGCCAUGCAGCCCGCGGUUCUUUCCCUGAGAGGGCGUGCGGGGAGGCCGGCCGUCGCGUUCCCGAGGACACCGCACUGCACGUGGACUUGACCUUUCUGUUCGCCACAUGGCAGAAUUUCCAAUGGAAGUUUGUUGUGAAUGUAAAUGAGGGAGGAUUCUUUUUUUAAAAAAAAAGUACAAAUCAUGGUUCUUUGGAGCAGGAUUUUAUGUAAGAAUGGUGUUUACACGUGGUGUGGGUUUUCUUCCACCUUCUUUAAUAAGAACAGGUUUUUCAAAAAGGAAAUGGAAACUUUUUAACCAACUCAUGAAUGACUUUUGUACUAAAAUUUUAAGAACCUGUUGCCUACUCUCAGAGGAUUAUAUAGACUCUGCAGUGGAAACUGAGCCAGCUAAUUGAUAAAGCUGCCUUAGUUUAUUUUUAGAUUACUGUACAGAAUUUUUAAACGGGAGAGGUAUGAGAUAGCCCCCUCCCUUCCCUGCUAUUGGCUCUUUGACAUGCUUUUUUUUAAAUCGUUAUUAAUACCAAAAAAGUUCUUAUGAAACGAAACUGAUUAAAGGGGCAGAAGGUCUGUCGUCAGCCUGUAUUGAUAUGCCACUCCCGUUUUGUAAAUACUUACUUACCUCCUUAAAUUCAGUUGCAUCUGUGGCAAAAUUUUAAAACUCUUUUCUUGUAUUUUUCCUUUUCUCCUUUUGUGAUGCUCCUCUGGUCUGUCUGGAGGCCGAUGCACAGAUUUGGUCCAGUGUAUUCUCAUGAAAGGGAAUUGGGUCAGAACAUGAGUCAGGAUCUGCCUGUGGCAUCUGCGGUCCAUUUGGUCUUGUCUGCCAGUAGCUUCCUCCCUGGGACCUGCGUGGUUUUGGUUUUCACUGGUUUUGAUGGGCUUGUCAUUUACAAGUGUUCUGAAGAAGGACUACCAGUCACAGCACAGACAGGUACUGUGCCCCUCGGCGCUGUGGGCUUCUCUGGUUGCAGACUCCCCCGUGGUCACAGGUGCACUGUCAGCAGGCGCCGCAGGUGGGGAACUGGCCCCCUCACAGCUGAGCCCUUUGGGCUGCAGGUGUCAGAGCUCCAGCCCUCGUGGGAAUUGGCACGAGCUGUGGGCGGGGCUUUAGGCGGCGGUUUCCUGGGCAUUCAGGUUUUUCAUCCAACUCCAGGUUCACCUGGCCUUUGAUGCCUGACACUUGGUUCCCACCCCCCCAAAUCCACUUUGAAAGGAAGGCUUAAUUCUGCCUUCCGCCGUGCCGUAAAAAUACUGCAUUGGAGCCCGAAUCUGAAGUGGCCGCUCAGCCUUCGGACAGAGGUCUUUCUUAUUCCCUUAUUCUCGGGACACGUGGGUGGUGUUGAACCACCCUUGGUGCAUCCACCUCUGUUGGGCGCGCUCUUUUCUUUCUCCACACCUGCCUGGGAGGGGUGCAGCAAAUGGAGGGCCCAUGAGUUGGUCUGACAUUUCAAAGGCAGUUAAACAAUUUGGGGGGACCCAAGAGAGAUCAGGAAGCAGUGAAAGAGGAGCAGUAGAGAUCAUUUCGUGAAGCCUGUAACUCUUCCAGAUUUUGAAACCUCAGAUCAUUAAAUAGCUUUUUAAAAGAUAAACCUGAUUUUUCAAACGAGUCAGCAGUGCCAACAACUCUUGUUUUGCUUUGGGCCCACAGAGGACCAGUGUUUCCAUGUGAUUAAAUUAAGUGAGGAAAUCCAUUCAUUUGUAUCUUGAUAAUUCUAUAUAAAUAUAUAUAUAUACAUAUAUAUAUCUACGGCAUAUACGCAUUUUCCUUUAGGUAGAGAGAUUUGAUUCCAAAUAUUCUUCCUUUCUUAGGAUUUUCUUUUCCCCCACAAUCUUGUUGGGGUCUUGAAUAUUUUUAAAGCUACGUUGAGUGUCAGCUUGUGUUCCCGACAUGUCUCGAACCCCUUGGUAGGGUCAUGACGUCCACACGGUUGUAAGGCGGUGGUGGACCUGCUGGACACACACACCAAAGACGUAUUUGGUUCUGGGUGCCUCUCCCCUCCCAGGAUCUCUGUACUCAGUGCCAGUCUCUCUGACUGGAGCACUUUACUCUGUUUCUUCAAUACUGCAGCUCCCUGGGAGCGGUGCCCGAGGGCUGUGUGCUGGCAUACCUCUGGCUCAGUGGCCGCCUGGUGUCCAGGCUGGCCGCGGAAGCAGCUUGUGAGGAAAUUAGAGAUUCUAUGAAUUUGUAGUAUUAAGGAGCAGGAUGUUGCACCAGGACUGAAGAGAGAUGACUGGAUGUCUCUGUACUGUACGUAUCUGUUUAUCAUGAUGCCUCCCUGCGGAAGGUAUGCCUACUGUGGUAGACCUUGACUUUUUAGUGUGUAUUUCUUUUACUUUUUGUAGAAAAAAAAAAAAAAAGACUAGAUCCCUUUUUGGAAACUGAAUGCGGGUUUUGUGCCUUGACCACCUCUUCUCCCAUGAGGUUUGUAGAAAGUGUCCUGUGACUUAUCACAGAAAUGCAAUAAACACAUGCAAAAGAAUCCCAUGAGUAAUUCUUCCAGUUACCUGUACUCCUGCCCAGAAGUGAGUUUGCCAAGAACUGCUCUCGGGGUUGCGGAGGAACCAGGCAAAACUUCCCUCUGAUUAAAAAGAGUGUACACCAUAGAGAAUAACUUUCUCCUGUUUCCCCGUCUUGAUAUUGUAUAUAUUUUGACUAUUUAUUAGAUUAGGAGGUCACAUUUUACUUACCAACUGAGCCAAAUGUCUGUGUGCAAUUGUGUUUCCUUUACCUUUCUUGUAAAAUUUUGUACAGCAUAAAUGAGUAAAGAUCACUGUUUUUACUAAACUUUUUCAGAAUUGAGGAUUGUACAUAUUGUAGAUUCUUUUUCUGUGUAAUGUGUCCUACUGUUUCAUAAUGCUGUAACUUGUAGAAAUAUUGUAUAUUUAUUUCCUGCUUAUUUAAUGUCUUAUGUUCUGAAAAGUGUUGACCUCCCUGCUCCCCGCCCCCUGCUGUACCAUUCAUUGCUUUAACUCUGAGGUGGUGACUAUGAGCCCCACGCUCUUCCCUAGGCUGGCCCUCCAGCUUUGGUUCCUAGUAGUUCUGGUCACGUGGGUUUAAGUUCUUGGGGUUUGCUAUCCUGAUGAUGAAGUCGGUGUUGAGCCAUCAGUGAGAGACCAUAAAUGGCCGGCCACAAAAUUCUACAAGAAAUAGCUGGUGACUUUUCUAUUCCGAAAGAGCCAGCUUCUCGUGGAAGCAAAUUCUAUGAAGGCCAGGCCAUAUCUUUUUUAAUUUUAUUUUAUUUUAAUGUAUUAUUGGCAGUUGGGACAGAUUUUUCCAUUGAAAAUGUAUCCCUGACAAUUCAGUGUUCAGAGAAAUAAAAACGGGCCCCUUUUUGGGGAUGCUGCCAGGAGUUGGUCAGGGCAGGAGGAAGGGACAGGUAAGCCAGGUUGCUCCUGCCUUGAGAGGGACGUCAGGAACACCACCUCAUGCCACUUUUUGGCAACUGGUGAGUAGUUAAAUUAUCCCCCACCCGCUGUGUCCUGUGCUUUGAGGUGUGGACUUAAUGGUCUUCAGGAGCUAAUUGUACAGACCCCCACCCCCAGCCCUGAGCCGUUUGGUCCCUACCUUUGAUCAGCCUGCUUCAGGUUGUCUUCCUUCUGCUUCUCUGUUGGCUUCAGGAGAGGUUGGGGGUCCCACUCGACUAGAUGUUAAGAUGUGAAAGCUCGCGGAAGCUUCAGAGAGACCUCCUAGUGGCCCCGUGUCAGUAGAUGGUUCUAGCAUCCCUGCUGAUUUAGCCUGGUGCCUGUGUGGUCCACUCCCCACUCACGUGGGUGCAGGGAUGGGUCCACACGUGACGCUAAACCAGCAGAGGGGACUCCUGCUCCCAACGGCAUUGUAUUCAAGAAGCAUCCUCAAGCUCCCAGCUAGGUAACUUGACUACUUUUAUUUGGGAAUCAGACUUUAGAAGCUCUCCGAAGUUGUAUGUGCAGGUUCUGUGACCACUAGUUACUGUAUCAGAACUCAUCAGGUACACAUUUAUAAAUAGCACUGAUCUGUCUGUAUACGGACCGUCACUAACUUGUUUCCUAGGACCCAGCGUAUGUAGCAUUUGUAUUGCGAUUUCCCUGGCUUACUUGUGUUUUGCACUGAUGAAUUUUGACAGGGUAAUUGCCACUUUACUUGUGCAAUACUGCUGUAAAUAACUGCAGAUUUUUUUUUUUAAGAAACUUAAUCUUUUAUGUUCUUAAUGAAGUUUAUAUAAAUAAAACUUUCAACUAGU